rnacentral:rRNA from 1 species
ACGAACGCUGGCGGCGUGCUUAACACAUGCAAGUCGAACGGUGAAGCGCCUUCCUUUUUGGUGGGUGUGGAUGAGUGGCGAGCCGGUGAGUAACACGUGAGUAACCUGCCCCCUUCUUCUGGAUAACCGCAUGAAAGUGUGGCUAAUACGGGAUAUUCUGGGUCUGUCGCAUGAUGGGUCUGGGAAAGAUAUUGUUUCGGUGGGGGAUGGGCUCGCGGCCUAUCAGCUUGUUGGUGGGGUGAUGGCCUACCAAGGCGGUGACGGGUAGCCGGCCUGAGAGGGUGGACGGUCACACUGGGACUGAGACACGGCCCAGACUCCUACGGGAGGCAGCAGUGGGGAAUAUUGCACAAUGGGCGCAAGCCUGAUGCAGCGACGCCGCGUGAGGGAUGGAGGCCUUCGGGUUGUGAACCUCUUUCGCCAGUGAAGCAGGCCUGCCUCGUUUGUGGGUGGGUUGACGGUAGCUGGAUAAGAAGCGCCGGCUAACUACGUG